rnacentral:rRNA from 1 species
ACGGAGGGUCCAAGCGUUGUCCGGAUUUAAUGGGUUUAAAGGGUACGUAGGUGGAACUUUAAGUCAGUGGUGAAAGCCUCCAGCUCAACUGGAGAAUUGCCAUUGAAACUGAAGUUCUUGAAUAUGGAUGAGGUGGUUGGAAUACAACAUGUAGCGGUGAAAUGCUUAGAUAUGUUAUAGAACACCAAUUGCGAAGGCAGAUCACUAAACCAUUAUUGACACUGAGGUACGAAAGCGUGGGGAGCGAACAGG